CGUGAGAUAACAUGCUUCUUUAUAUGCCCAUAUGAUUUACGUUAUUAUGGAAUGUAAGGAAGUGUGUGGUGUCACU